CAGCAAGUAGUUUAAGUAAAAUUUAAGUUUUGGAAAUUUAAGAAGAAAAAUUUUUCUUUGCUGA
rnacentral:tRNA from 1 species